rnacentral:sRNA from 1 species
AUAUAAGUAUCAGUUUCUGUACUUUAUUGGUAUGCGAAACUUCCGGGACCCGUCUUCCGGCAACAUUUUGGGUGCGCCAUGGCGCUUUUUUUUUUCUUUUUUGUGUGUGGCGGGUGUGUGUCCUGGAGGUGGCGCCCAAGACCGCCGCCCAUGACACGGGGUUCGGUACGCCCCAAAACGGUAUC